AAAAUACUGUGUGAACAUAAAUUAAAAUCAACAUAAAUUAAAAAAUGUAAAUCUAUUUAACAAAUGUGAUAUACAACUUAAUGUGCAUUACAGUAAUGAAAAGGCUAAAUGUAUUAGAAUUACAGUAAGCUACUGGGAUUGUCAUAAAAAAAAAAAAAAGGUCCUACAAACUUCAUAUUCACAUACAUAUUUCUUUCUUUUGAUUUUGUGGUGAAAUAUGGCCCGCAUGUGCUCUUGGCAGUUUCCAUAAGAUUCAACUUUCAAGGUCAGGUUAUGCUUUCUUUACAUAUCUUUGUCACUUAGUGGUCCAUGAUGACUGAAAAAGUGAAAAAUAUUUAUAUACAGUAGGUUGCAUAUUCCAUGCAUGCAUGAAGAAUGUUAUAAAUUUGAACAACUUGUUCAUAUAACAGGAGUGCAGUUGCAAGCUGUGUGUAGAUGUGCAUAUGUUUGUGUCCACCAGAUGAAAACCACUUCUGUUUGUAAAAUAUUAGUUACUUUUCUUUUAUGAUAUGAAGGACAUUUCUAAUGUGAAGGGGGAAAUGUUUACAAGCACCAUUCCCGUUAUUAUCUCUAUUAUUUGAAAUGACCUUGUAAAAAUCCCUUUUUAAACCUCUGCUCUUAAAAGGGAUGUUUACAGGAAGCAUCUGUGUUGGGAUUCUUGUUUCGUUUGCUGCCAUGUUGAAAACAUACCAAACAAGUCGGCUUCACGGUGUGCGCUUUAUUUGAGAUCAGUUCUUUUGUGAAUGUACUGAAGAAAUGUACAGAUAAUGUUUCAUUUAUCCUUAUAUCUUUAAUAUUUCUACUUUUUUGUAUAUUUAACUGAACUGGGAGUGUAUUGGGUUGUUAGGUUGGCAUGAAUUCAACACAAAAAAGUAUGUUU